GACGAACGCUGGCGGCGUGCUUAACACAUGCAAGUCGAGCGGUAAGGCCCUUUCGGGGGUACACGAGCGGCGAACGGGCGAGUAACACGUGGGUGACCUGCCCUCAGCUCUGGGAUAAGCCUGGGAAACCGGGUCUAAUACUGGAUAUGACUCCAUGACGCAUGUUGUGGGGUGGAAAGCCUUGUGCGGCUGAGGAUGGGCCCGCGGCCUAUCAGCUUGUUGGUGGGGUGANGGCCUACCAAGGCGACGACGGGUAGCCGGCCUGAGAGGGCGACCGGCCACACUGGGACUGAGACACGGCCCAGACUCCUACGGGAGGCAGCAGUGGGGAAUCUUGCGCAAUGGGCGAAAGCCUGACGCAGCGACGCCGCGUGAGGGAUGACGGCCUGGUGU
rnacentral:rRNA from 1 species